rnacentral:rRNA from 1 species
GGACGAACGCUGGCGGCGUGCCUAACACAUGCAAGUCGAACGGGGAUUUGUUUCGGCAGAAUCCUAGUGGCGAACGGGUGAGUAACGCGUAGGCAACCUGCCCCCCGGAUUGGGACAACACCCCGAAAGGGGUGCUAAUACCGGAUACGAAGAUAACACCGCAUGGUGAUAUUUUGAAAGAUGGCCUCUAUUUAUAAGCUAUCGCCGGGGGAUGGGCCUGCGUCCGAUUAGCCGGUUGGUGGGUAACGGCCUACCAAGGCGACGAUCGGUAGCCGGUCUGAGAGGAUGAACGGCCACAUUGGGACUGAGACACGGCCCAGACUCCUACGGGAGGCAGCAGUGGGGAAUCUUCCGCAAUGGGCGAAAGCCUGACGGAGCAACGCCGCGUGGGUGAGGAAGUUCUUCGGAACGUAAAGCCCUGUUGUACGUGACGAACGUGCUUUCUAUCAACAACGGGAAGCAAUGACGGUAGUGUACGAGGAAGCCACGGCUAACUACGUGCCAGCCGCUGC